rnacentral:rRNA from 1 species
UGUCCUACGGGAGGCAGCAGUGGGGAAUAUUGCACAAUGGGGGAAACCCUGAUGCAGCGACGCCGCGUGAGUGAAGAAGUAUUGCGGUAUGUAAAGCGCUAUCAGCAGGGAAGAAAAUGACGGUACCUGACUAAGAAGCCCCGGCUAACUACGUGCCAGCAGACGCGGUAAUACGUAGGGGGCAAGCGUUAUCCGGAUUUACUGGGUGUAAAGGGAGCGUAGACGGCAGAGCAAGUCUGAAGUGAAAGCCCGCGGCCCAACUGCGGGCCUGCUUUGGA